UGUCGUCUAUCUGGCUCGCCACUUCGAGAUAGCACCCUUUGUUUAUGAGCACCUCUCGUUUCCUCGGCAGGCUCGCCUGCCAACGGGGACCCACCACAAACCCAUUGUAGUACAAGAAGUACACGUCUGAACAAAACAAAACAAACUAUUUACAACUUUCAACAACGGAUCUCUUGGUUCUGGCAUCGAUGAAGAACGCAGCGAAAUGCGAUAAGUAGUGUGAAUUGCAGAAUUCAGUGAAUCAUCGAAUCUUUGAACGCACAUUGCGCCCUUUGGUAUUCCUUAGGGCAUGCCUGUUCGAGCGUCAUUUCAACCCUCAAGCCUAGCUUGGUGUUGGGCGUCUGUCCCGCCUCCGCGCGCCUGGACUCGCCUCAAAAGCAUUGGCGGCCGGUUCCCAGCAGGCCACGAGCGCAGCAGAGCAAGCGCUGAAGUGGCUGCGGGUCGGCGCACCAUGAGCCCCCCCACACCAGAAUUUUGACCUCGGAUCAGGUAGGGAUACCCGCUGAACUUAAGCAUAUCAAUAGGCGGGAGGAAAGAUCAUUACGGAGGGCCUCGCCCCCUCGAGAUACCCCUUUGUUUAUAAGGCCUUUUUUUUUCGGGGUGGCGACGGG
rnacentral:rRNA from 1 species